GGUUUGGUGGUCUAGUAGUAUGAUUCACCCUUAGGGCACACCUGAGCUUGCAUGGGUGAGGUCCCGGGUUCAAUUCCCGGCCAGACCC
rnacentral:tRNA from 1 species